UCGGGAAUUUUGGGCAAUGGGCGAAAGCCUGACCCAGCAACGCCGCGUGAGGGAUGAAGUAUUUCGGUAUGUAAACCUCGAAAGAAUGGGAAGAAUAAAUGACGGUACCAUUUAUAAGCUCCGGCUAACUACGUGCCAGCAGCCGCGGUAAUACGUAGGGAGCAAGCGUUGUUCGGAUUUACAGGGCGUAAAGGGCGCGUAGGCGGCGCGGUAAGUCACUUGUGAAAUCUCUGAGCUUAACUCAGAACGGCCAAGUGAUACUGCUGUGCUAGAGUGCGGAAGAGGCAACCGGAAUUCUUGGUGUAGCGGUGAAAUGCGUAGAUAUCAAGAGGAACACCUGAGGCGAAGGCGGGUUGCUGGGCCGACACUGACGCUGAUGCGCGAAAGCCGGGGGAGCAAACG
rnacentral:rRNA from 1 species